CUGAUCAGGCGCAUGGGCGAACGUUCGUGCAACGAGCCCCUUCUUCGUGCGGACUAAUGUCCGCGUGAAGAUGCGCCAUUGUCAG
rfam:Methanoregula formicica SMSP chromosome, complete genome.